rnacentral:tRNA from 1 species
UGGGUUGUGGCUCAGUGGCAGAGCACUUCCCUGGUACAUGUGAGGCCCUGGGUUCAAUUCUCAGCACCACAU